rnacentral:rRNA from 1 species
AACGAACGCUGGCGGCAUGCCUAACACAUGCAAGUCGAACGAGACCUUCGGGUCUAGUGGCGCACGGGUGCGUAACGCGUGGGAACCUGCCCUUAGGUUCGGAAUAACUCCCCGAAAGGGGUGCUAAUACCGGAUAAUGUCUUCGGACCAAAGAUUUAUCGCCUUUGGAUGGGCCCGCGUUGGAUUAGCUAGUUGGUAGGGUAAAAGCCUACCAAGGCGACGAUCCAUAGCUGGUCUGAGAGGAUGAUCAGCCACACUGGGACUGAGACACGGCCCAGACUCCUACGGGAGGCAGCAGUGGGGAAUAGUGGACAGUGGGCGGAAGCCUGAUCCAGCAAUGCCGCGUGAGUGAUGAAGGCCUUAGGGUUGUAAAGCUCUUUUACCCGGGAUGAUAAUGACAGUACCGGGAGAAUAAGCGCCGGCUAACUCCGUG